rnacentral:rRNA from 1 species
CUACCCCGGGGAUAACAGGCUUAUCUCCCCCAAGAGUUCACAUCGACGGGGAGGUUUGGCACCUCGAUGUCGGCUCAUCGCAUCCUGGGGCUGUAGUCGGUCCCAAGGGUUGGGCUGUUCGCCCAUUAAAGCGGUACGCGAGCUGGGUUCAGAACGUCGUGAGACAGUUCGGUCCCUAUCCGUCGUGGGCGUAGGAAAUUUGAGAGGAGCUGUCCUUAGUACGAGAGGACCGGGAUGGACAUACCUCUGGUGUACCAGUUGUCGUGCCAACGGCAUAGCUGGGUAGCUAUGUGUGGACGGGAUAAGUGCUGAAAGCAUCUAAGCAUGAAGCCCCCCUCAAGAUGAGAUUUCCCAACUUCGGUUAUAAGAUCCCUCAAAGAUGAUGAGGUUAAUAGGUUCGAGGUGGAAGCAUGGUGACAUGUGGAGCUGACGAAUACUAAUCGAUCGAAGACUUAAUCAAAA